rnacentral:rRNA from 1 species
AUUGAACGCUGGCGGCAGGCCUAACACAUGCAAGUCGAGCGGAGCGGCGGACGGGUGAGUAAUGCCUAGGAAUCUGCCUGGUAGUGGGGGAUAACGUCCGGAAACGGGCGCUAAUACCGCAUCCUCUCAGAUGAGCCUAGGUCGGAUUAGCUGGUUGGUGGGGUAAAGGCCUACCAAGGCGACGAUCCGUAACUGGUCUGGGGGGAUGAUCAGUCACACUGGAACUGAGAAACGGGCCAGCUCCCUACGGGAGGCAGCGGGGGGUAAUUUUGGACAAGGGGCGAAGCCUGAUCCAGCCAUGCCGCGUGUGUGAAGAAGGUCUUCGGAUUGUAAAGUACUUUAAGUUGGGAGGCGUUACCAACAGAAUAAGCACCGGCUAACUUCGUGCCAGCAGCCGCGGUAAUAC